UACGCCACAAAUGCUCUCUUCCUCUGCGACAGUAACCGAAUUCAACUAUGCCACAAAUGCUUCGCCUCACAACCAACCAACAUCAGACUGCUGGAACGGCUAUAGGUUCUUUGACUGUCACAUACAUGUUACAGGGAGGCAUUACUCACCAAGAUUUUGUAGGCCAUAAGGAUACAAUUGGACCCUGUGAUGUGCAGAAAAAAAAAGAAAAAAAGAAGAGAUUGUUGGCCAAUAAAUGAAGAAGAGCAGGGCAAAGGGAAGAUAGUAUAAAUUGGGGCAUUGCAAAGCCAAUACUUACUUUGAUUGGUAAUCUGGUGCCUUCUUUGUUUACAGCAUAAUUUAUAUUUUUUUAGAAUUUGUUAUUCUUAUUCCAUUGAUAUUGUGAGCUAUAGAUGGUUCUCUUAAAAAAGAACCACUAUAGGCAUGAGAAUUACAAAUUGUUUGCAAAGACUUGAGCAACUGAAAUUAUUACCUUUUUUAUUUCAAAAUGGUAGCAACAGUCACCUUCUCCUUGCUUCAUUUAUAGUUAGGACAUUUUGGGCCUACAAAUGAAUAUGAAUUGGUUGCCUCCUCUACUUGAUCACUUUAGAAGUCUAAGAUGUUUAGGCCCUAUUUGGUAGAGUUGUUAAACAAUAUAUUUUCAGCUUUUAAACAGCAUUACACACAUUUUCACACAAAUUUUUACCCACACAUAUUUCAAAA